rnacentral:lncRNA from 1 species
CCCAAAUCAAUUAAUAAACGGGGAAUGUAGAAAGAAGCACUUUUGACUCGCUUUUGACAGCAUUUGAACUAUCUUUUCUUGUAUAAUGGACAUCUUAAGAGUUGUCUAAAGCCCUGCCAUUCAUGGUGACAUCAAAUACUAUGCUAAAAGUCCUUUUCAUGGACUGUUUUGAACACAGAUCAUCCACAUACUUCAUUCAAAUCCAGCCAUCGCUUUUCCUUGAGUUUACAGGUAAUAUAUAUAUAUUUUUUAUUUAGAAGUAUAAUUAAGUUGUUUACAUGUAACGUUAAAAUAGUUUAUGGUCUUUGCACUUGUGGAUGAAUCCUAUGAAA